rnacentral:rRNA from 1 species
CUACGGGACGCAGCAGUGGGGAAUAUUGCACAAUGGGCGCAAGCCUUCUUCUUCCAUUCCGCGUGUAUGAAGAAGGCCUUCGGGUUGUAAAGUACUUUCAGCGGGGAGGAAGGGAGUAAAGUUAAUACCUUUGCUCAUUGACGUUACCCGCAGAAGAAGCACCGGCUAACUCCGUGCCAGCAGCCGCGGUAAUACGGAGGGUGCAAGCGUUAAUCGGAAUUACUGGGCGUAAAGCGCACGCAGGCGGUUUGUUAAGUCAGAUGUGAAAUCCCCGGGCUCAACCUGGGAACUGCAUCUGAUACUGGCGAGCUUGAGUCUCGUAGAGGGGGGUAGAAUUCCAGGUGUAGCGGUGAAAUGCGUAGAGAUCUGGAGGAAUACCGGUGGCGAAGGCGGCCCCCUGGACGAAGACUGACGCUCAGGUGCGAAAGCGUGGGGAGCAAACAGGAUUAGAUACCCUUGUAGUC